rnacentral:rRNA from 1 species
UGGGGGAUAUUGCACAAUGGGCGAAAGCCUGAUGCAGCGACGCCGCGUGGGGGAUGAAGGCUUUCGGGUUGUAAACCUCUUUCGCUAUCGAACAAGGCCCGCUUAGGGUGGGGGGAGGGUAGGUGGAGAAGAAGCGCCGGCUAACUACGUGCCAGCAGCCGCGGUAAUACGUAGGGCGCGAGCGUUGUCCGGAAUUAUUGGGCGUAAAGGGCUUGUAGGCGGCUUGUUGCGCCUGCUGUGAAAACGCGGGGCUUAACUUCGCGCGUGCAGUGGGUACGGGCAGGCUUGAGUGUGGUAGGGGUGACUGGAAUUCCAGGUGUAGCGGUGGAAUGCGCAGAUAUCUGGAGGAACACCGAUGGCGAAGGCAGGUCACUGGGCCAUUACUGACGCUGAGGAGCGAAAGCAUGGGUAGCGAACAGG